CAUUCUUAAAUCUUAACCAAACA
rnacentral:snRNA from 1 species